ACAGAUUUUGUUUUCUAAUAAUAUUUAAUAAUUUUUUAAUAAUUUUUUUUUUUUUUUUUGCUGGUGGCAGCUGCCCCCACCACCUUGGCUGUGGGUCCGCCCCUGUAUCAGAUAUGUUGUAUAAUAGAUACAUGACAACAAAUAUAGUCCAAAUUCAUUUGAGUAUUAAUCUUCUUCAAAGUAGGGUUUCAGAGAUGUAAUC
rnacentral:lncRNA from 1 species